GGACGAAAGUCUGACCGAGCAACGCCGCGUGAGUGAAGAAGGUUUUCGGAUCGUAAAACUCUGUUGUUAGAGAAGAAUGUUGAUUAGAGUGGAAAAUUAAUCAAGUGACGGUAUCUAACCAGAAAGGGACGGCUAACUACGUGCCAGCAGCCGCGGUAAUACGUAGGUCCCGAGCGUUGUCCGGAUUUAUUGGGCGUAAAGCGAGCGCAGGUGGUUUAAUAAGUCUGAUGUAAAAGGCAGUGGCUCAACCAUUGUGUGCAUUGGAAACUGUUAGACUUGAGUGCAGUAGAGGAGAGUGGAAUUCCAUGUGUAGCGGUGAAAUGCGUAGAUAUAUGGAGGAACACCGGUGGCGAAAGCGGCUCUCUGGACUGUCACUGACACUGAGGCUCGAAAGCGUGGGUAGCAAACAGGAUUAGAUACCCUGGUAGUCCACGCCGUAAACGAUGAGUGCUAGUUGUUUGGGGCUAUCCAGCCCUAAGUGACGCAGCAAACGCAUUAAGCACUCCGCCUGGGGAGUACGACCGCAAGGUUGAAACUCAAAGGAAUUGACGGGGGCCCGCACAAGCGGUGGAGCAUGUGGUUUAAUUCGAAGCAACGCGAAGAACCUUACCAGGUCUUGACAUACUCGUGCUAUUCCUAGAGAUAGGAAGUUCCUUCGGGACACGGGAUACAGGUGGUGCAUGGUUGUCGUCAGCUCGUGUCGUGAGAUGUUGGGUUAAGUCCCGCAACGAGCGCAACCCUUAUUGUUAGUUGCCAUCAUUAAGUUGGGCACUCUAGCGAGACUGCCGGUAAUAAACCGGAGGAAGGUGGGGAUGACGUCAAAUCAUCAUGCCCCUUAUGACCUGGGCUACACACGUGCUACAAUGGUUGGUACAACGAGUCGCAAGACAGUGAUGUCAAGCUAAUCUCUUAAAGCCAAUCUCAGUUCGGAUUGUAGGCUGCAACUCGCCUACAUGAAGUCGGAAUCGCUAGUAUCGCGGAUCAGCACCGCCGCG
rnacentral:rRNA from 1 species